rnacentral:rRNA from 1 species
UACGUAGGGGGCAAGCGUUGUCCGGAUUUAUUGGGCGUAAAGAGCGUGUAGGCGGCCAGGUAGGUCUGCUGUGAAAACUCGAGGCUCAACCUCGAGCUGUCGGUGGAAACUGUGUGGCUAGAGUCCGGAAGAGGAGAGUGGAAUUCCCGGUGUAGCGGUGAAAUGCGCAGAUAUCGGGAAGAACACCCGUGGCGAAGGCGGCUCUCUGGGACGGUACUGACGCCGAGACGCGAAAGCGUGGGGAGCGAACAGG